rnacentral:lncRNA from 1 species
ACUACUGCUUAGCAACCUGCUCGGGACCCCUCUCUGUGACUGUGAGCUGUUCUGUUCUUUUGCCUAUUAAACUCCUGCUCCAAACUCACUCGAUGUGUGUGUGCAUGUCCUUGACCUCAAUAUCUGGUCGUGUGACCAAGAACCUCAGUAUUCACCCCAGACAACAAGGCUGCUUCAUUUUGAGGGCUCGUCUGGGAUUUGAAGGUGACUUCAUCAGAAUGAAACCAUCAAGCUUCAGAUGGUGCUGAAAAUGGAGCCGAAAAUGAAACUGCCCUCCUACGAGGGACCCUUAAAUCAACCCCAGGAGGAGCCCUAGCUGCUGUUCCCCACACAACGCCACUCUCCAGCAGGAAGUAGCCAGAAGAAAUCGUCACCCAGUUUCCCCUAGCAGCAGCGCAGUAAGAUUGAGGAGCUAAAAACAGACUUGGGUGGAUGUCUGCAGCUGCAAGAAGAUGUGUGGGAACAGACACAGAAACUCUCCCUCCCAGAUAAGCAAGACAAAGAAACACAGAAUAAGAGUCCAUCUAUGUGGUCAGAGAAUGGGAUAAGAGCUGAUUUAAAAAAACUCUGCUCUAUAUAGAAGGCACACCUGGUCCCAACCAAACCACUGGACCCUAGGAGGAUAAGACCUCCUCUGCUCAUGAGCCCCCUCCUCAGUAGCCCAUUUAUAAAAACCCUGACAAUUUUACUACCACUUGGCAACCCGCUCGGGACCCCUCUCUGUGAUGGAGAGCUGUUCUUUUCUUUUGCCUAUUAAACUCCUGCUCCAAACUCAC